GCCACUGUGGCUUAGUUUUUGGUAGAUGACUGGGAUUCUACCGGGUUAUAGCGCCUCCUUGGUAAGGAGGAUGUCGUGGGUUCAAAUCCCACCAGUGGCU
rnacentral:tRNA from 1 species